AUAAAACUCCAAUAUAACAGAUUCAGCAGAGAUCAUCAAGUUUUAUCUCAUUUCGAUCAGUCUACAUGUUUCUACUAUUCAGAAAUAUAAAUGGGCUUUACUCGUCUAAGGCCAUGCAUAUAUCACUAAAUAUACACUGACAGGUUUUCUAAAAUGAAAUAUAAAUGGACAAAUUAUUCAAAAAUAUUCAACAUGAUGGUUAAACAAAACGUCAUUUAAUGCAGACUACAUGUAAGCUACCUGUCUGAACUCUAAAUAUGGAUAUUUGUUAAAUUCCAAUAUUUACAUACAUAUUAAUAUUUCAAAUAUAUGUUGCAUAUAUGCACAAAUAUACAUUCUAUAUCACUGAAAAUCAUAAUACAUGUACUAUACAUGUUCAUUACAUAUAUUGUAUGAUAUAUGGGAAACAAACUAUGGACGGACCUCUAUGUUUAAAUGACAGACCAUUUGAGGAAAUCUCAGUAUAAUAUGUAAGGCUGCGAAUAAAACAAACUCUCACUAGAUAUAAACAAGCAGUUGAGUUUUAAAUGAAAUCUCGCGAGAUAGAGGACGAGCAGAAUGCGGAAACUGGUGUGCGAUUGUGUGGCUACGAUAUUAAAAUUGAAACUGGAUCAUACAGUAGCGCUUUGUAAAAUAUAUAAAGACUAUAUUUUUCUCCGGAUAAAUCAACUAAUAAGGGAUUUACGUUAUUGUUGCUUUUUGUUUAUCCAUUUGGAAGCUAAGCACAGCUGUAAUUCAUUUAUUUAUGAAAAAUAAAACGUUGAUAGAAACCUAUACGCGUUUAGAAACUAUUGAGAACCGAGGCUGUGGAUAAUGCAUUACAUAGAACCUACGUUGUGACGGAUAGUCACCAAAAUACGGCCAUGAACAUCAAGGUUCCAGCAGCACCUGACAUCUGAUCAGUGGAGACUGGAAAUGAGUUCUGAAAUUAAGAAAAAGAGACAUUUAUUAGUGUACCUGAAUGUGUUAGCUUGAUCUAUAACAAACGCUAUGAAACAUCAGCAGAUCUGCUUGUAAUUCUUUAAUAAAAAGUAGAACAUGUAAGAGAGUCACUAAUGUAGAAUGAUGUGUUAUGCAUGUGUUCAUAAAUUAAUUUCUUCUGUAAAAAAAUUACCCUUAAUUACAUUGAUGUCAAUUGAGGUGCUUGUUUUUGUUUAAAGUCCAAAUAUGAAGGAUGUUAGUGAGGAAUCUCAGAACAUUUGUAAAUCCAAACCAAAUGUUUAUACAUUUUGUUUGUGUUAAUAUUAUCUAUGGCCAUGUAUAGACCGCUUCUUUUGAUUCUCCUAUCAUCUCUAUAUUAACUCUCUAAACUUUAAUUUUGAGUUUGCUGUUUGUCAGUUACGUUGUAUGUGUUUUCUGUUGUGGUGUUAACAGAAAAUAAAAUACAUUUCUAUAAAUCCUG